CGAAUCCGUUUCUUAACCGACAUUGAGUCUUAUCGUAGCAGCAGUCUUGACCUCCUUUGUAUCCAGGUUCUAAAGCUCGACCGUACUCAUCAACCGUUACAUUAUAAAGACCACACCGACACUCGGUGCAUCCUUGUUUAUCCACAACCCCUCUAGUGUCAAUAGCGUGAAUAUUUAGAAGCCAUUUGAACUCAUACCCAUCAGGUACUUUCUCCGGGUUACCGAUCUCGAUCGCGUAAGGAUCAGGAACAUACGUCGAAGUCUUGCGUGUUUCUGAUCCUAACCCAAAGUAUUGUCUAACUCUGUUCCUACACAACCCUCCGUUACUAACGAGAAUAUAAUCAGGGCUCGAACCAAGGUUCCUAGGCGUGUCUAGGUGCGAAAGGUUGAGACCUUUACGCACGUAGUAAGGGUGCACAACCCAGUGGUGGAGAUAUGUCUCGUGUAACGGGACGGGGUUACCGUCUUGGUCGACUACUUCGGCGUCGAAACCUUUGAGGCCGAUGUGGCCUCUAGGGAAAUCGAUGUCGAACAGGUAAGGGUCUGCGACUGAUCCUGGAGUCAUGACUUGUUUUGGUGAUAGGAAACUUGCGGACUUGAUGUUAAUGCUGUGGCUAGGCGAUAUGCUUAACGCGACCAGAAGAAGAAGUAAGGACGAGAUGAUCAGGUAACAACGAGCCAUUUUGUCCUGUUUCGAUAUCGUUAUAGAGAGGUAAUAAAUGAAGUAAAACUGAUAAAAUACGUAAUCAUGAACCGGUUUGACCUAAACCGAGAUCUGUUACCGGCAGUUUACCUGCAAGAAGCUCUCCGGUCCAGGCAGCUGCUGAGAAACGAGGAUGUAAAAGAGUCCCAUGACUCCUGUAUGACCAAUGACAUUACUGUAAUUGAACUCCAAAGACAGUGUCUCUCCAUUAGUCACUUUCACCGGUUCAGGAUAACAAGACGACAUUCCAACGAUGUAACCAGCUUCGCUUCCAGGCUCAUCUCCAUUGCCAUACUUCGGCAUCGAGGAGCAUAUUACCUCACCGUCCUGAUCAAAAUCCAUAACACAAGAGUCUCAGUUUUUGAGUAAAAAGUUUUUGCCUUAGCUUAAAACCUUAGGUUGGGUGUUUAUACCCAAACCCGAAAUCCGAACUGAGACCAAACCAAAAUUCUAUCUAAACCAUCAUAAAAAAUAUCCAAAUAGAGUCUAAGAAUACUUUCGGACUCGGGUACAAUCCAAACCAAACUAAAAUCCGUACUAGAAUCCAAAAAAUCCACAUUAGUUAAUCUGUUAAUGUUUUUUUCUACAUAUGUUACGUUAAGAUAGUUUAGAAAUUUUUAAAAAAAUUAGAAUUUUUUGUAGUUUUUAUAGGAAUUGCGAAUCGUUAUUUUGGAAUACUUUUAAUUAGUUUAGGUAGCUUGACAAGUUUUUAAUCAGAUUUUUGAUUUUUUUGUAUAUUUUAAAUAUGUUUUUGUCAAUUUCAUUAAUUUUAUUUCCAGAUUUAAGUACGAUUUUUAGACAAUGGUUAUAAUUUGAUUUGAAUCAAACACAUACGAAAUCGAAUCAAACCCGAUCCAAAAACUAGUAAAAUAUGAAUAAGACCAUUGUGCAUGAUACCGAAAAUCCAAAACAAACCCCUAACAAGACACCAAACGUCCGGGCCUGUUAAAAACUAACCUCUCGGUACAGAGCUGCACCGAUACCACCUGCGUGCUGGUGAGCUACUCCAUAGACAAUAUACCCGUUAAACGGCAUCAUUAAGCUCUUUUUCUUAACAUCAACACACCCAUCACCCUUAGUUUUGCACGGUUUCACGUCAUAUUCCACCUGAAAAGAAAGCAAUUAAUACACCUUAGCUAACGUUUUUAAGUAAUAAAAGCAUUAAUAAGCAGAGAUGUGAAAAGUCUUUACUGACAUGACAAAAAUGUUCUUGGUUAUCUCCUGUUGAUCCUUCUGACCGUUCCCAAGAAUCCGUUACAUCGAGAAUAUAAACCUUAGCCGGCAACAAAACCGAGCUGUCCCAAUCAACCCAUCUCACAGUAUACUUAAGAUACACAGUUCUUGUUUUGUUUCCACUUUCGAAUCCGUUUCUUAACCGACAUUGAGUACUAUUAUAAGCUUUAGUUUGUUAACACUAUUAUACAAGAUUUGUAACAAACUUUAAGAUCAUUAAUGAAUAAAUCAACAUUCUUCUUUGAAUCAAGAACACUUCAAUAACUCCACUCUAAAUCAUCAUAAUCCAAUCAGAUCAGAACCAUAUACUAACCACAAACGCGUUUCAGAGAGUUUAGCGAUAUACAAUACCUUCGUAAUCACCAUUCUUCGAAACGAUCCAGCGACCAUCAAACGCCUCAUCGAACGAUUCAUACAACACCUGAACACAAAUCCAACGAGCUCAGAUCUAAAAAAUCUUCAGAUCUACGAUAACAUUCGGAAACAUUUUCCCGAGAAAAAUCGAAAUCUACCGUAUUAUCGUCGCAGUGGCAAAGGUUCUGGAGCGAGAGGAGAGCUAGGAUAAGCAUAAGGCCGGAGAAUAGCUGCCGGUCUCUCAUCAUCGGAACGGUUCGAGUAGAUCGGAGGGAGAAGAGAGAGAGAGAGAGAGAGAGUGGAAUCUAUUUUUUUUUUUUCCUGAAGAUUUUAGUUUCUCUGAGUGAUUUAUAUAUUUAAAUCCCGUAGACUCGGUCGAGUGUGUCGAUUUUUGUUGUUUCCACCAAUGAGAUCGCUCGCCACGUGGUGAGAGCCAAUAGAUGGACGCCACGUCAUGCGAAAGAGAGGUAUCCUACGUGCGCAAUUUGUAUUGCUACGUAAUGUGCAUGUUUAUUAUACAGAUAGUCUAACGUCAGUAUUGGGCUGGGCCUGUAAUCAAUUUAAAAGUCUCUGGUAGAGUAAGAGUCUUCUAGAAGCAAAAGUAACACAUUUAUCAGGAACAAAGAACCAAAUCAAACUAAACUAAAAAAAAUGAGGUUUGGUUCGGAUUUAGAUCAUAUAAUACACGAAUGAACGGAUCCUAUAACUUUUGAACUGAAAAACCAAAACCAAACUGGAGCAAACAAAGACCCGAAUGGAUACCCGAAUUUUUAUAAUAUAAUAUAUACACUUAUAAAUAUUAACUACAUUUAGUUUCAAAAUGAUAAAAUAAUUUGAAAUACUAUUUCUAAAAACUAAAUCUCCAAAUACAUUUUAUCCGAAAUAUUUUAAAUUAUUUGAACUAUCCAAAUUUUACCUAAAUUAUUGGAUAAAAAUCUAACAUUUAGUAAAAAAAAGACUGAAUUUACUUACUUUUUUUUGAAACACAUCUGAAUUUUCUUACUUUUAACAAAACUUAACAAAAAAACUAAAAUCGAACGGCUAACGAAUAUGAUCCAAAAAUGACCUCGGAUAUUAUUCGGUUUUUAAUUUUGUUAUCUAAACUAAACUGAAAAAUGAAAUAACCGAAUCAGAACCAAAGUGAAUCCUAAACAUCUAAAACUGAAAAGCAGAAAAAAUCGAAAGAACCGAACCGGAACCGAAUCCAAAAUUCUUUAGCGGAGCAAGAGUCUCUAUUGGGCUGGGCCUACUAAUCAAUUUGAAAGUCUCUAGCUGAGCAAGAGUCUUCCACAUACCAUUGACAAAAGCAAACUUUUUACACACGUAAGUCGUAAUAACCAUUACAGAAAUGUCACACACUAGUGGAAGAGUACAAGAUACUUUGUUAUUUUAAUAUUUGGUAUUAGAAAAAGUGGAAAACUAUAAAAUGUUGAAGAUGAAUAUCUAUAGUUUUACUGUUUAGGUACUAAGUGAUUGGUAACCAUCUUCCCGGUUCUUUCUCCGGUAUACCACGGCGACUAUUAGAACCACAACCGCCACCGUCACUGCAAGAAAGGCUAAAAAGCUCAUACUGCUCGAAUGUGCCUGCAAAGAAAUAAUGAAUACUGACGUUAAGUAAAGUAACACACAUGGUAAUAACCGGUUUGACCUAAACCGAGAUCUGUUACCGGCAGUUUACCUGCAAGAAGCUCUCCGGUCCAGGCAGCUGCUGAGAAACGAGGAUGUAAAAGAGUCCCAUGACUCCUGUAUGACCAAUGACAUUACUGUAAUUGAACUCCAAAGACAGUGUCUCUCCAUUAGUCACUUUCACCGGUUCAGGAUAACAAGACGACAUUCCAACGAUGUAACCAGCUUCGCUUCCAGGCUCAUCUCCAUUGCCAUACUUCGGCAUCGAGGAGCAUAUUACCUCACCGUCCUGAUCAAAAUCCAUAACACAAGAGUCUCAGUUUUUGAGUAAAAAGUUUUUGCCUUAGCUUAAAACCUUAGGUUGGGUGUUUAUACCCAAACCCGAAAUCCGAACUGAGACCAAACCAAAAUUCUAUCUAAACCAUCAUAAAAAAUAUCCAAAUAGAGUCUAAGAAUACUUUCGGACUCGGGUACAAUCCAAACCAAACUAAAAUCCGUACUAGAAUCCAAAAAAUCCACAUUAGUUAAUCUGUUAAUGUUUUUUUCUACAUAUGUUACGUUAAGAUAGUUUAGAAAUUUUUAAAAAAAUUAGAAUUUUUUGUAGUUUUUAUAGGAAUUGCGAAUCGUUAUUUUGGAAUACUUUUAAUCAGUUUAGGUAGCUUGACAAGUUUUUAAUCAGAUUUUUGAUUUUUUUUUUUGUAUAUUUUAAAUAUGUUUUUGUCAAUUUCAUUAAUUUUAUUUCCAGAUUUAAGUACGAUUUUUAGACAAUGGUUAUAAUUUGAUUUGAAUCAAACACAUACGAAAUCGAAUCAAACCCGAUCCAAAAACUAGUAAAAUAUGAAUAAGACCAUUGUGCAUGAUACCGAAAAUCCAAAACAAACCCCUAACAAGACACCAAACGUCCGGGCCUGUUAAAAACUAACCUCUCGGUACAGAGCUGCACCGAUACCACCUGCGUGCUGGUGAGCUACUCCAUAGACAAUAUACCCGUUAAACGGCAUCAUUAAGCUCUUUUUCUUAACAUCGACACACCCAUCACCCUUAGUUUUGCACGGUUUCACGUCAUAUUCCACCUGAAAAGAAAACAAUUAAUACACCUUAGCUAACGUUAAAAGCAUUAAUAAGCAGAGAUGUGAAAAGUCUUUACUGACAUGACAAAAAUGUUCUUGGUUAUCUCCUGUUGAUCCUUCUGACCGUUCCCAAGAAUCCGUUACAUCGAGAAUAUAAACCUUAGCCGGCAACAAAACCGAGCUGUCCCAAUCAACCCAUCUCACAGUAUACUUAAGAUACACAGUUCUUGUUUUGUUUCCACUGUCGAAUCCGUUUCUUAACCGACAUUGAGUCUUAUCGUAGCAGCAGUCUUGACCUCCUUUGUAUCCAGGUUCUAAAGCUCGACCGUACUCAUCAACCGUUACAUUAUAAAGACCACACCGACACUCGGUGCAUCCUUGUUUAUCCACAACCCCUCUAGUGUCAAUAGCGUGAAUAUUUAGAAGCCAUUUGAACUCAUACCCAUCAGGUACUUUCUCCGGGUUACCGAUCUCGAUCGCGUAAGGAUCAGGAACAUACGUCGAAGUCUUGCGUGUUUCUGAUCCUAACCCAAAGUAUUGUCUAACUCUGUUCCUACACAACCCUCCGUUACUAACGAGAAUAUAAUCAGGGCUCGAACCAAG
rnacentral:lncRNA from 1 species